CUUCCUACGGGGGGCAGCAGUGGGGAAUAUUGGGCAAUGGGCGCAAGCCUGACCCAGCAACGCCGCGUGAAGGAAGAAGGCUUUCGGGUUGUAAACUUCUUUUGACAGGGAAGAGUAGAAGACGGUACCUGUCGAAUAAGCCACGGCUAACUACGUGCCAGCAGCCGCGGUAAUACGUAGGUGGCAAGCGUUGUCCGGAUUUACUGGGUGUAAAGGGCGUGUAGGCGGGACUGUAAGUCAGAUGUGAAAAUUAUGGGCUCAACCCAUAACCUGCAUUUGAAACU
rnacentral:rRNA from 1 species